UGUCUAUGUUCCCAUGUUUUUAGAAUCUUUAGCUGAAGUCCGUACAAUAAUCCCAUGUCUUUUAGGCUCAUAUUUGGUACACCUGUCUGGAAGAGAGCAUUUUUUUUUAAAAUGAUUUCAGCCAUAUGAGGAUACGGUUCAUAUACAAGAAGAAUAUGGCUUCUUUUAAAAAUUCAAUUGAUGUUACUCUCUCUUUAACGCCUAUACUUGGCGCAGUUGAUUUUGUUUUGACUGGUUUUUAUAUAUAAUACCAAUCACACUCAUCGUUGUUGGUGGAUUUAACCAGGAUUCAGAUGUUCAGUUCUGUUAGUUUAUUGUAAUGUCUUUGUGAAAAGGGUACAUAGCCAACCGCCAUUGAUCUGUGUAAGCAUCAGAUGGUAGAAUCAAGCUGAAAAAUGACUAAUACCAUGUCAUUACUGUAGACAAUAUAGAGUAUAGACUACUAGACAAGUCUGCAUAUUACAUUUUUGGACCAGAUUGUAGCCAUGCUUUUAUAAAUGUCUUGAGUAGAAGUCAGGAUGAGUAUUGUUUAAAUUACCUCCAAGCAAGAAGCAUUCAUUUUCAUAGCUUAGAGACCUUUUCUUAAACUCUCAAUUUAGGUUACUUGUCAUAUUGUUGGAUGCUGUUUUUUCUCUUCUUCACUUCAGUUUCAGCUGCACCUGCCUUUCACCAUUUUGUAAAGGAAAGAUCAUCAGAGUAUGAGCCUGAUCAUGGUGGCCGAUAUUUAUUUAUUUUUGCCUCGCCUCAUAUUGAAGUAUUGUUUUUGCUUUAGGAAACCACGAAGAAAGGUGGCCAGGGUGAAAUUACGAUCCUUGUAGUUGAAAUUGACUUGGACAUUUAAAGUGCAAACAUUAUCAUAAUUGAGGAUGUUCUACAACUCAGCCUUGACCUGUUGUAUCAGGUCAAGCACCGUCUGCAUAGUUUAGUUGAUUGGUUCUCUGCUGUAGCAGACAAGUAACAGGACUAAACUGAGCUGUUAAGCCUUAAAGUUCUAAAUGGAGGUCAAGCAUGUUAAAAAUGUCUGUGUGAAAUUAAUAAAACUGAAAGCCAUGAAGCUUGGUAUGAUACGUCGUUGGAUAUAAAUAUUUGAAGAAGCAGCUAAUGAAAA